CAGGUGCUGGACCUGCAGCACCACAGACGCGGCUGCCGGGCUGUGACGUCGGGGCCCAGAGGAAGUGGGUAGUUCUACCCUCAGUGCUCAGAACAGUGGGCACUAAGGAUGGUUGGUAGCCUGACAUUC
rnacentral:snoRNA from 1 species